GGCCGCCAUGGCCAAGUGGUAUAGCUCAUUACUCUGAUUCGUUAGGUCGUGGGUUCGAAGCCCACCAUGGUCU